rnacentral:miRNA from 1 species
AAGGAGCUCUACCUGGGGCCCA